UCAUUAUCUUUGCAGGUGCACCUAAUAAGGUGAGUGUUUUUUUUUUCUUCACACAAAACUUGUACUUUUGGUUGACAGGUCAACUCACGGUCUCGUCGAUGGUAAAUUCUUUCUCAGAGGUGACCGGGGAAACCACUUUGGGCUUCAUGAAGUCCUUGAAGCUGCUGGACCUCUGCAGGUUUUUGUAAACAGCCUGGCGGACACACGGCGCACCAACAGCGCCCUCUGGUGGUUGACGAGAUACUACAGGCAGCCAUACCUCUGGUUCCCGCAGGAAAUAUGGUUCUUGAUAUUUCAAUAUUCCCCAUAAGCACCCGAGUGAAGGCUUCCUGCAGUGGGCGUGCCCCAGUGGACCGUCCUGGUGACGUCAGUGGUGCCGUCUCUGGAGGUGUGCAGACAAGUGAUGACAGGGAUCUACAUUUAGGAGAUUAUGGAGGGCCUCAAUGUGUUGUGACUCACAGAUAUUGACCACCAGAGUCCACCAGGUACAUCUCAUCUGCUGUCAGCUUCCUGUUUGUUUCCCCCGUGGGGCUGCAGCGUGCAGAAACAGAUGAUAUGACGUCAUCUCGUCCAGUACAGCAUAUAUCUUACUACUCUUUUACUGCACAAUGUUUUUUGUUCCUAUUGGACUCACAAACAAGUGCUAUUAUUUUACACAUAAAUAAUAAAAAAUACAAAUGUAGUAGUACAGUAUUUCAAUUUAAAUUAAUUGACUUUCUUGUGAAUAUUAAACAAUCACACAAUCUCAAUUUAUACCCGGGAAUACAAUAUUUAAAAAAAAAAUGUAUUAAAAGUUACCAUUAGUUGAAUCACCACAAUCAAACGUACCGUAAAUGAUCAUAAAAACACUUAUUUUUAGAGAUGCCCGAUAAUGGCUUUUUCCCCCGAUAUGCGAUAUUGUCCAACUCUUAAUUACCGAUUCCGAUAUCAACCGAUACCGAUAUAUACAGUCGUAGAAUUAACACAAUAUUAUGCCUAAUUUUGUUGUGAUGCCCGGCUGGAUGCAAUAAACAAUGUAGCAAGGUUUUUCCAAAAUAAAUCAACUCAAGUUAUGGAAAAUAAAUGCCAACAUG